AUUGAACGCUGGCGGCAUGCCUUACACAUGCAAGUCGAACGGCAGCACGGGUGCUUGCACCUGGUGGCGAGUGGCGAACGGGUGAGUAAUACAUCGGAACAUGUCCCUUAGUGGGGGAUAGCCCGGCGAAAGCCGGAUUAAUACCGCAUACGAUCUACGGAUGAAAGCGGGGGACCUUCGGGCCUCGCGCUAUAGGGUUGGCCGAUGGCUGAUUAGCUAGUUGGUGGGGUAAAGGCCUACCAAGGCGACGAUCAGUAGCUGGUCUGAGAGGACGACCAGCCACACGGGGACUGAGACACGGCCCAGACUCCUACGGGAGGCAGCAGUGGGGAAUUUUGGACAAUGGGCGAAAGCCUGAUCCAGCAAUGCCGCGUGUGUGAAGAAGGCCUUCGGGUUGUAAAGCACUUUUGUCCGGAAAGAAAUCCUUGGCCCUAAUACGGUCGGGGGAUGACGGUACCGGAAGAAUAAGCACCGGCUAACUACGUG
rnacentral:rRNA from 1 species